AUUGAACGCUGGCGGCAUGCCUUACACAUGCAAGUCGAACGGUAACGCGGGGCAACCUGGCGACGAGUGGCGAACGGGUGAGUAAUGCAUCGGAACGUGCCCAGUAGUGGGGGAUAGCCCGGCGAAAGCCGGAUUAAUACCGCAUACGACCUAUGGGUGAAAGCGGGGGAUCGCAAGACCUCGCGCUAUUGGAGCGGCCGAUGUCAGAUUAGGUAGUUGGUGGGGUAAAGGCCUACCAAGCCGACGAUCUGUAGCUGGUCUGAGAGGACGACCAGCCACACUGGGACUGAGACACGGCCCAGACUCCUACGGGAGGCAGCAGUGGGGAAUUUUGGACAGUGGGGGAAACCCUGAUCCGGCCAUGCCGCGUGCGGGAAGAAGGCCUUCGGGUUGUAAACCGCUUUUGUCAGGGAAGAAACGCUCUGGGUUAAUACCUCGGAGUAAUGACGGUACCUGAAGAAUAAGCACCGGCUAACUACGUGCCAGCAGCCGCGGUAACAC
rnacentral:rRNA from 1 species